GAUGAACGCUGGCGGCGUGCCUAAUACAUGCAAGUCGAGCGAACGGACGAGAAUCUUGCUUUUCUUAUGUUAGCGGCGGACGGGUGAGUAACACGUGGAUAACCUACCUAUAAGACUGGGAUAACUUCGGGAAACCGGAGCUAAUACCGGAUAAUAUUUUGAACCGCAUGGUUCAAAAGCGAAAGACGGUCUUGCUGUCACUUAUAGAUGGAUCCGCGCUGCAUUAGCUAGUUGGUAAGGUAACGGCUUACCAAGGCAACGAUGCAUAGCCGACCUGAGAGGGUGAUCGGCCACACUGGAACUGAGACACGGUCCAGACUCCUACGGGAGGCAGCAGUAGGGAAUCUUCCGCAAUGGGCGAAAGCCUGACGGAGCAACGCCGCGUGAGUGAUGAAGGUCUUCGGAUCGUAAAACUCUGUUAUUAGGGAAGAACAUAUGUGUAAGUAACUGUGCACAUCUUGACGGUACCUAAUCAGAAAGCAACGGCUAACUACGUG
rnacentral:rRNA from 1 species